UAUUUUUAAUUGACAUAGACCAAGUCAUCUAGU
rnacentral:tRNA from 1 species